UGCCAGCAGCCGCGGUAACACGGGGGGCGCAAGCGUUAUUCGGAAUUAUUGGGUGUAAAGGGCGCGCAGGCGGUCUUGUCCGUCAGGUGUGAAAGCUCGGGGCUCAACCCCGGAAGUGCAUUGGAAACUGGCGAACUUAAGUACGGGAGAGGAAAGUGGAAUUCCGAGUGUAGGGGUGAAAUCCGUAGAUAUUCGGAGGAACACCAGUGGCGAAGGCGGCUCACCGGCUCGAUACUGACGCUGAGGUGCGAAAGCGUGGGGAGCAAACAGGAUUAGAUA
rnacentral:rRNA from 1 species